rnacentral:rRNA from 1 species
UACGAAGGCAGCAGUGGGGAAUAUUGCACAAUGGGCGCAAGCCUGAUGCAGCCAUGCCGCGUGUAUGAAAAAGGCCUUCGGGUUGUAAAGUACUUUCAGUCGUGAGGAAGGUGUUAAGGUUAAUAACCUUAGCAAUUGACGUUAGCGACAGAAGAAGCACCGGCUAACUCCGUGCCGGCAGCCGCGGUAAUACGGAGGGUGCGAGCGUUAAUCGGAAUUACUGGGCGUAAAGGGCACGCAGGCGGUUAAUUAAGUUGGAUGUGAAAUCCCCGGGCUUAACCUGGGAAUGGCAUUCAAGACUGGUUAGCUAGAGUCUUGUAGAGGGGGUAGAAUUCCAUGUGUAGCGGUGAAAUGCGUAGAGAUGUGGAGGAAUACCGGUGGCGAAGGCGGCCCCUGGACAAAGACUGACGCUCAUGUGCGAAAGCGUGGGGAGCAAACAGGGAUUAGAUACC